GAUGAACGCUGGCGGCGUGCCUAUUACAUGCAAGUCGAGCGAAGCGGGGACGGGUGAGUAACACGUUGAUCACCUCCUAUCAGACUGGGAUCACUUCGGGACACAGGAGCUCAAACGGAUACUUAUAGAUGGUACCGCGCUGCAUUAUCUAGUUGGUAAGUUAACGGCUUACCAAGGCAACGAUGCAUAGCCGACCUGAGAGGGUGGUCGGCCACACUGGAACUGCGAGGCGGUCCAAACUCCUACGUGAGGCAGCAGUGGGGAAUCUUCCGCAAUGGGCGAAAGCCUGACAGAGCAACGCGGCGUGAGUGAUGAAGGUCUUCGGAUCGUAAGACGCUGUUAUUAGGGAAGCGGUACCUAAUCAGAAAGGCCCGGCUAACUACGUGCCAGCAGCCGCGGUAAUUC
rnacentral:rRNA from 1 species